GUUCAAUUAGACUUAUUACUUUCUUCGAGGAUGAUUCCCCCCUGUCGUGAUGACGCUCAUAGCUCCAAGCAUCGACUUCCCCAUUCUCAAUCUAGGUCACGACAUCGAGAGGUUGGUCAAGAACACAAACUUGUAGAUGAGCCAAGUAGUGGUGAUGAUGAUGGGGAGCACGUGUCAAACACAGAACGACAUGGUUGAAUUUUAAGUAUCUUACUAACUUAUGAAUUUUUUUGGUGGAAUUGUAAACAUUAUAAUGUUUUGUGGAUGUUUGCAAAGGUUGAAGUAGUUUAAUGUUUUUUUGUGAAUGUUGAAUUACAUUUUGAUUCAACUUUGAAGUAGUUUCGAGUUAAAUUUGAUGUAGUGCGGGUUGUAGCAUGUUAUUAUAUAUGCUUGUUGGAUUGUCAGCAGCUAUUA